rnacentral:snoRNA from 1 species
AGACCAUGAUGAGGACACUCUAAAAUAAGGACUUUGAAACGUUUCAUGCAUCAAGAAAAUCAUUCAUUGGGUCACUGAAGAAAUAUUAGAAUGUCGUUCCUAAGCUU